AUUGAACGCUGGCGGUAUGCUUAACACAUGCAAGUCGAACGAUGAGAAAGAGCUUGCUCUUUCGAUUAGUGGCGGACGGGUGCGUAACGCGUAGGAAUCUACCUAUUAGUGGGGGACAACUUAGGGAAACUUAAGCUAAUAUCGCAUACGCCCUACGGGGGAAAGAAGGGGAUCGCAAGACCUCUUGCUAACAGAUGAGCCUGCGUUGGAUGGGCUAGUUGGUGGGGUAAAAGCUAACCAAGGCGACGAUCCUUAACUGGUUUGAGAGAAUGAUCAGUCACACUGGAACUGAGACACGGUCCAGACUCCUACGGGAGGCAGCAGUGGGGAAUAUUGGACAAUGGGCGAAAGCCUGAUCCAGCAAUACCGCGUGUGUGAAGAAGGCCUUAGGGUUGUAAAGCACUUUCAAUUGGAAGGAAAACCUCGAAGCUAAUACCUUCGAGUUUGACAUUACCUUUAGAAGAAGCACCGGCUAACUCCGUGCCAGCAGCCGCGGUAA
rnacentral:rRNA from 1 species